rnacentral:lncRNA from 1 species
UGGGUGAGAUACUUGCUUUAGUGUACAUCAACCACAAAAACCGUGCUCUCCCUUACAGUGAGCCACUGCACUGUACCUGCUUUCUUAGUGAUGUAAACAGCCAUUUCAAAGGGCAUGUUUGGUGAUAGCACAUUGUAAAUCCUCUUGUGCCUACCUGUAAAGGCUAAGGUGAGCCUUGCAGGGCCUUCGCAUCCAAAUGGAAGUGAGCACCUCUAUUCUCUGCCCCUUCCACUGCCUUUGGGGACAACCAGAUUACCUUCCUUGCCAGCUAGAUGUUCACCAUCAUCACCAAACCCUACAGCACUACCUCAUUUCAUGCUUCAGAGCUGAAAUCGGUCACCUACCUACAUCAGGAAUAAUCCUAUUUUGCAGCUUGCUUCCUCACCAGCCCUGGGCGCAUCAGGGAUUUGUUCUCUUCUCCCUCAAAGCACUGAGCUGGAAGCAAAAGCCUGGAAGAAAACACCCUUUUGAGCAGGGAAAAAGAACUCUCUUUUUUGACCUGACACAGGCAGUCAAGGAGAUGAAGUUCAAAGCACACAAAUGAUAGGUCACCCAGAAAUGCCAAGCAAGAAUGAAUUUGGUUUAGUACCAGUACAAGGGGCACAGAUUUUGGAUUCACAUCUAAGGUGUUGGGUAGCUUCAUGAAGAGCACUCUGACUCACCACCUAUGUGGAACAGAAACACAUUCCUACUAUCUGCCAGAGUUUGAGUGAGACACAGUAAAGCAGAAAAGGGAUUUCACCAUCUGACCUUCAAGCAGGAAUGUUCUAUCAGAGGAAUCACGAAUUCUAAUCAGACACCAAAAUACAGGAAAAAUAGGUAUUUUUCAAAGAUACGAAAAGGGUAAGAACAGCCUCCAAAUACAGCCUCAGAUCCUAAGCCUCCCCUUUAACAGCAGUGUUGAUUUCUCCUUCACAAUUUGCUACAGAACAUGAACAUUUUAAGUCAAUCCUGCACUCCACAUCUGAUGAGAAGGCAUAUUUCUAUUUAGCCUUUUUAAGAACAAAUUUUCAUUGGCUAUACCAAAUGCAGAAAACAGUCAGGAUGCCCAAUACUUCAGCACACCCUGAAAAGAUGGCUCCACAGCUCCACACUUUGUAACCAAACUGGGAUGGGACCAAUGCCAGACGGUUUUGCCAUCAACUAUUGCUACUACUGCAGACCAAAGCAAAGCACAUGCUGUAACACACAGCAAGCAUGUGAGUCUGUAGUCUUCUACUCUUCUAUGAAGACGUUUAUCCAAACCACACUUCCGUAACACAUACAAGAGAUCUCAGGCAUAACCAUACUUGUGAUCACACACACCAGACCCAGACUUCCACUCCUACAAAAAGUGGUGCUGACAGAACGAGAGGCAUUAUGGUGUGUGGGGGUUUUACUGGUUGUCACAAGCCUUGCACUUAACUGCACUGAGUCAGUACCUGGCGCUACUGAAAUCCUACCAGCUUUCCAGAGGAAGCAAAUCCACAACGGUGCAAGCCACACUAGGGAAUUCCUUCGCACAGCACAGGGCUGUUUCUCUCACACAGCAACCAAGGGAGACAUCGUAUAUGGCUCCAGUAAAAGAAAUCCUUGGUAUUUAAAGGAGGUACAGGCAAGUUGCUUAAAUCCAAUCUAGGGCCUCUCUGUAAUUCAUGAAUAAAGAUGACUCCAGAUAUAAUUAUUGUCAUAACAACUUCAUUUCAGAAAGCUAAGAAUAUAGUUGGGACAAUCCACUGUUCUGCAUCCUUACCCAAGACUGGGGUGCUACCAGCCAAGGCCUUCUCAUGCUGGCACUGGAAGUCAGGUUUAGAAACAAGCCAUUACCAACAUCUAUGAGCAUGUGCAAAAAGUAGUUGUUACCAUCAUGUUUUUAUUACCACAAAGACAUACAGUGAUACUGAGAACAGAGCAUGUAUCCUUUUUAAUCUGCUGAGCUCAAUUCUUGUUCUGAGUGCAACACGUACUGUAGUGAUGACCCCUGGAAGCAAAUCAAAGAGGAGCAGCUCUCCAUGGAGUCUGACAUAAAUAAAAUCAAGGGACAUAAUGCUUUUGCGACAAGUUUAAGGGAGGUCAAUAUUUCCACAGGUGUAGCUUAGGGCUGUAAACCUGUAUUAAACUAUUCUUGCAGUCUGACUUGUGCAAAGUUCCCAGUACUCCUCCACACCUGAAAUCCAACGCAGAGGAGGCAUUACCUGCACUGAUCAGAACUGCAGCAUUUAUUUCUUCUAGUCAUUAUGCUAAAACACACCUUAACUAAACCAGCUUCAGUUAAAAAAAGAAGAACCACUUAUCACAAAUUAACCCAGGAGUCACCUCAUUCCAGGUGCAGGCACUUCAGCAGUAAUACCCUGUGGAUUUAGUCAUGCCAGAAAUACCUGCAAGACUCCAUAGUUGUAGGAGCAAUCACAGGGAAGCUUGGCUCAAGGUUUCCAUGUGUGGGAUAGAAACAGCAUGGAAAACUAAUCACAGCCAUUCAGAUUGCAUCACGAAUGUGAGAUUAUCAGGCAAAACUAAGUUUGCUUAUCCUGGGAUCCCUCCUCAUGCUACCACAGCUACUUACACACAGCAGGCAAAGGCUCCAGCUUUCUAGAUAUGAUCAGGAAAAGGUUAAGAAACUGAGAAUGAAUUUUCAAGAGAACUCUUUGCAUUGUGAAGCAAUUCCAGGACAGAAAAAGCUGGCAGAGUCGCAUUUGAACACGCAUUCGAUGUGCUCCUUGUGCCUGAUGCAAUUCAGCUGCACAGAGGUGCAAAAUUCUGAGCAGUCAGAGGCGCUGCUUCCACAUCCAGUCACACUCCAAGGAAGGACAAUGCGUUAGGCCAGAGGGUGCUUGGCUGGCUAGCUGGUCUCAAGCACAAAACCAAUCUCCAGAGCUCCCAAGUCUCUUACUAAAACAAAGAAGUUACUCCAGCAAAAGAGGUAAGUAGGAUAAACUGUGAUUUCCCCAGCAUGAGGCAGAAAAAGAAUCCCAUUACACUGCAAUAAACACAAGAGUUCGAGUCACCAAUUUAAUUUUAUACAAGUCAAACUACACGUUGUAUAAAGAGUACAAGGCAGUUCUAAUGUUU